rnacentral:rRNA from 1 species
GAUGAACGCUAGCGGCAGGCUUAACACAUGCAAGUCGAGGGGUAGGGCAGCAAUGCCUGAGACCGGCGCACGGGUGCGUAACGCGUAUGCAAUCUACCUUGUACAGGGGAAUAGCCCAGAGAAAUUUGGAUUAAUGCCCCAUAGCAUAUUUGAAUGGCAUCAUUUAAAUAUUAAAGUUCAGGCGGUACAAGAUGAGCAUGCGUCCCAUUAGCUAGUUGGUAUGGUAACGGCAUACCAAGGCAAUGAUGGGUAGGGGUCCUGAGAGGGAGAUCCCCCACACUGGUACUGAGACACGGACCAGACUCCUACGGGAGGCAGCAGUGAGGAAUAUUGGGCAAUGGGCGCUAGCCUGACCCAGCCAUGCCGCGUGCAGGAAGACGGUCCUAUGGAUUGUAAACUGCUUUUGUACGGGAAGAAACCCUAUUACGUGUAAUAGAUUGACGGUACCGUACGAAUAAGGAUCGGCUAAACCUCCGUGCCAGCAG